rnacentral:rRNA from 1 species
UACGUAGGAUGCAAGCGUUGUCCGGAAUUAUUGGGCGUAAAGAGCGCGCAGGCGGUAUGACAAGUCAGAUGUGAAAGAGGCCGGCUUAACCGGCAAGGGUCAUUUGAAACUGUCAGACUAGAGUGCAGCAGAGGAUAGUGGAAUUCCCGGUGUAGUGGUGAAAUGCGUAGAGAUCGGGAGGAACACCCGUGGCGAAGGCGGCUCACUGGGCUGACCUUGACGCUGGGGCGCGAAGGCGUGGGGAGCGAACGGG